rnacentral:rRNA from 1 species
CCUACGGGGUGCAGCAGUGAGGAAUAUUGGUCAAUGGACGAGAGUCUGAACCAGCCAAGUAGCGUGAAGGAUGACUGCCCUAUGGGUUGUAAACUUCUUUUAUAUGGGAAUAAAAUGUUCCACGUGUGGGAUUUUGUAUGUACCAUAUGAAUAAGGAUCGGCUAACUCCGUGCCAGCAGCCGCGGUAAUACGGAGGAUCCGAGCGUUAUCCGGAUUUAUUGGGUUUAAAGGGAGCGUAGGUGGAUUGUUAAGUCAGUUGUGAAAGUUUGCGGCUCAACCGUAAAAUUGCAGUUGAAACUGGCAGUCUGGAGUACAGUAGAGGUGGGCGGAAUUCGUGGUGUAGCGGUGAAAUGCUUAGACAUCACGAAGAACUCCGAUUGCGAAGGCAGCUCACUGGACUGCAACUGACACUGAGGCUCGAAAGUGUGGGUAUCAAACAGGAUUAGAUACCCUUGUAGUC